CCUACGGGAGGCAGCAGUGGGGAAUAUUGCGCAAUGGUGGAAACCCUGAUGCAGCGACGCCGCAUGAGUGAAGAAGUCCUUCGGUAUGUAAAGCUCUAUCAGCAGGGAAGAAAAUGACGGUAACUGAGUGAGAAGGCCCGGCUAACUCCGGGCCAGCCGCCGCGGUAAUACGUAGGGGGCAAGCGUUCUUCGGAUUGACUGGGGGGAAAGGGGGCGUAGACGGCAGUGCAAGUCUGGCGUGAAAGGCGGGGGCUCAACCCCCGGAAUGCUAUGGAAACUGUAAGGCUGGAGUGCAGGAGAGGUAAGCGGAAUUCCUAGUGUAGCGGUGAAAUGCGUAGAUAUUAGGAGGAACACCAGUGGCGAAGGCGGCUUACUGGACUGUAACUGACGUUGAGGUUCGAAAGCGUGGGGAGCAAACAGGAUUAGAUACCCCAGUAGUC
rnacentral:rRNA from 1 species